rnacentral:RNase_P_RNA from 1 species
GUGAGUGAGAUAGUCAACCACGGGAUCUGCUAUUAGAUUAGCAAGUUCUGAAUAACAUGAGAACUGAUUCUGAGGAAGGUCUGCCCAUUAAAAUAAAAUCAUUAGAUGAAAGUCUAAUUGCUGUGAAGCAAAGCUCCACUACAGAAACGACACAGUCUUAUCUGAGUAAUGAACCAUGCGGGAAACUUUGAAGAUAAGAAGACCCUGUAAAUCUUUUUAAGAUUUUCAGGUCCUUCAAAAUCCUCUGUGCAAACAAGAUUUUGAAGUUGAUGAAACGAGUGCCUUGAUUGAUGCAAGAGUAACAUACGUACGCUCGCUUAUAGGAAAGAAGUAAUUCUUUACUAUUCAGAGAAUAGCAAUAUUCUCUGCAGUCAGAUGUUGACACAAACUAUUCCUUAUUUGUUAAGGAAGUUUGACAAAAGGUGGCCUAUUUCUCACUCAC